UGGUAUUGCUGGGGUGUCCUGUGCUGGGCCAGGAGUUGGACUUAACGAUUCUUGUGGGUUUCCUUCCAACUCAGGAUUUCCUAAGAUUCCAAACAGCCUCACUUUUUGAAGCAGCUUCAGAUGAACAAUCCCACAUACAGGGCACCAGGGAGAGCUCCUGGCUCUGCAGGACCUCACAGAAAAUACCACACAGGGCCUUUCACUCUGGGGCAGUGCUGGCUCCCACAGCAGCAGGGCAGAGCACAAGGGAGUGAGUUGUGGUGCUCACCUCCAGGAAGCGCUUGUGCAAGGUCUCCUCAGUGAUGUCCAGCACUUCAGGGUUGUAAAUGCUGCCAUUGUCAAAGACCUGCUGGAUCACCAACCCGAAGGAGAACGGGGAGAUAUUCAGCAUGUUGAGCAGGGUGGCUUCGCUGGCACCCACUUUGUCUCCAGUCUUGAUGAGCUGCACGUCGCUCUGAGGAGAUCGGAGGGAAAAGCAGUGAAUACACACAGAGAAUUCCAGCACAUGAGUUCAAGGGGACACAAACACAAAUGGUGAAAAUGGAGCAAAUGAGCCCAACACGUACACUCCACGUUCAUUCCACAAGCCAAGCCAGACACCCUCCUUCCAGUCCCCAAAGUGCAGCAGUCACACUGCUCAUACAGUAUCUAAGAAUUAAUGGGAGCUUUGGCCUUCAGAGUUCCCUGAGCUGCCACAGUCUGAGCCCCCAGUGAAGGAACAGCUUUGACAAAGGCAGCACGCAGCUCACUGACCAGAAUUUCAAUGGUUCCUCUGGAAAUCUUCGUGGUGAUGCCCAAGGCCUGGAAAAAGGAGGUCUUCUCUGGCCCAAGGCCCGUGUUCUGGGCUGGCACAGUCACAUCACAAGGAGCAAUAGCACCGGCACGGGCAGCAGCUGGCACCUGAGAGAGGGGAGAAGAGAAGCUGCAAGAAUGCUCACCUCAGAUCUUGUGGGAUCAUCUCCUUGCUGACACAUUCCUCCCGGAUGGACAGCACCCAAGCACACACCAGUGACACAGCUGAACUCAAGCAGUUUGUGUAAGGCUGCAGGGGCCAAUUCCCAGCCUUUCAGGACUCCUACUAAUGACGUAUCCUCCGUGAAGACUCAGUUUUAUUUUUCAUUCCAUAAUAACAGCCCAGAGAUGUGGUGAGGGCUGGUCUCCCUACCUUGUUAGCCAGCAGCAUGUCCCGGAUCUCGGUCAGAUCCUCCUUGGUGAAGACAAAGCCCACAUUCCCACGGAUGUGAGGCAGCAGCCUGAAGGGAAGACGACAGCCUUCAGUUCUGUUUCUCAGACAACAUCCCCUCCUCCCAGACAGAGCACCCAGAAGUGCCCUCAGGCAGCAGUACCCACUUUUCAAGGGCAGGGUUGUUCUCCAGAUGACCACGAAUAGCUUUGCGCAUCAUCGUGUUCUUCCCCAUCAGCACAACAGCCUUCCCACGCAGGGACAUGCGGAUCUGCUGCAUCUGCUUGGAUCCCACGUUGUCUGCUCCCACAAUGAAACAUUUUGGGUAAUCAUCCAGGAGUUGCUGUAACAAAAAGAACACUGUAAGUAUACAAAGACAGCCAGACAGAGCAGAGUGCUCAGAGCACAGAGCAGCAUUAAAACCUCCACACGUUAAAACGUACAAAAAGGCUGUCAGAAGUUUCAGAGUGCUGAGCUCCAGCUGAGGCUGAGCGUGCCACAGGCUGCACGUUUCACUCAGCCAUCGAGUCACAUCCCUGAACAUGUCACCUCUGCAACUACCGCAGCAGAUUCUCACAGGAAAAACUGUGGAUUGUCUUAAUAUCUUUCUAAUGCCACGUAAUCCUUCCUUAAGCAGAUACACCACAGCACUUAUCUCUUUACACAAGCCCCCGCAGCACGGCCCGCCCGCCUCCCGCUGCCCCGCGCCGACACUCACGAUGAUUUUCAUAAAAUAGUUGGACUUCCACGUAGCCCUGUCUUCCCUGGGCAUCUCGGCGGUGCUCCAAGGAUCGCCCGGUGGGUUUAAAGACGAGCUGGGACCUGCCAGAGAGAAGCACGGUCAGCUUCCCCACAAGGGCAGGCAGAAGGAGGGACCAACACAGACUUUCAUGCAGCAGAAUCCUGAUGAAUACUGGACUGGUUCCAGCUGAGAAAAUGAGGCACAAUUAAUCUUCACAAGUGACCUCUCCACAAUGGCUGGCAUUAGGCUGGUACACUCUGCAAAGGAUUGUCCAACCUGAAACAUCUCCAGCAGUUACACACGGAUCACUGCUGGGAGAAACUGUUUGUUCUACAGCGCUAAUGAUUUUGAACAGACAAGGAGAAGAGGAUACACCAGCUACAUGCUAAUUAGUGUCCGGAGCUCCUCCUCCCCCUUGGUGUCAGGCAGCUACACUUUAGAACCUGCAACAGAAGCACCCACCACCCCCACCAGACUGGGGAGACCCCCCAGGGGUGGUCUUGUAUGAGUGGGAAACUCCUUGUAUGAGUGGGAAAAUGAAGCAGCAGAGUGUGGGAGAGUCGAGGACGCUGCCAGAUUUGCCAAAUAUAUCAGCAGCAAGGCCCGGAGGAGGAGCCAUGUUUGCAGAAUCCUGGUUUUGCUGACCUCUUCCCCGGGGAGGACACUGACCUAUCACACACAGCUGGACCCCAACAUGUGGAAAGGGAUACAGCAAACAGCAGGUAGAGUUGUUAAACACUCACAAUACCAGGAUGAAUACAGUUUGCCUGCAGCGAGUCCAAGACUUUACUAAUGCUGACAGUUCAAUAAACAGUGUCUUCCCUCAGUCAGCAGGACAGCUGAAAAGUUUGCUCUGAUUUAGCAAAAGCAGGAAGAGAAUCACAUCUUGUGUCCUGGAAGACAUCCAUGUUGGCCCCACUAAUUCAGGCAGUGUGGCAGCAGGGGGAAAGGAAAGCAGAACUGCUUGAUAAAGUCUCAAUCUCUGCACAAGAAGGCACAGCCCUCCCCAGCCCCACAGAGUCAGGCACAGCUUCUGCCUCCACUCUCUGCACAGCACUGCAGGAGCCACAGCCAACAGCACGGUCACAGUCAGAUCUGAGCAUCACACCAGGAAUCAGCAGCUUGUGGUUCUGGCUGCUUCAUCUGGUUUCUGCUCUUCUCUCCCACUCUAGGAAGCACUGGUUGAUUUGGCUCAUCUCUUGGGGCCUUUAAGAGUUAAUAUUUGCAAUGCUCUCUGAAAGAGUGCCAAGCAUUUAAUCUGCAGUAUUCCUGUUUCUUAUGCCUGUUGUAUGGAGCCUGCCACUAUUUCACUGACUUGCAUGUUUGUCUGAACAAGGUCAGCCUCAUUAGUUUACAUUGUCAGAUGGAGCAUGGGAGGAAGAUUCUCAAAAUCUGAGUGCUGAGGCAAGUGCUCAGAGAGAAGCUUAGCUUAUAAUUAUUUAAAGGUCACAGAAAAUGUCUCUGUUUAUCUGUGAGCUGCUGCAGAAGCCCAUAAUUGCAGUUGGGAACAGAAAGGCAGCUCGAAAGUUCAACAUAAACAGGCAGAGGAACAAGAA